rnacentral:rRNA from 1 species
UACAGAGAGUGCAAACGUUGUUCGGAAUUACUGGGCUUGAAGCGCACGUAGGCGGCGUCGUAAGUGUCGGGUGAAAUCCCACGGCUCACCCGUGGAACUGCCCGGCAGACUGCGAUGCUAGAGUGUGGUAGGGGAGAGCGGAACUCCUGGUGGAGCGGUGAAAUGCGUAGAUAUCAGGAGGAACACCGGUGGCGAAGGCGGCUCUCUGGUCCACAACUGACGCUGAGGUGCGAAAGCUAGGGGAGCAAACGGG